rnacentral:sRNA from 1 species
GCCCAAAGAAACUCGGGAUCCUUUCCUCGC